rnacentral:rRNA from 1 species
GACGAACGCUGGCGGCGUGCUUAACACAUGCAAGUCGAACGGAAAGGCCCUGCUUUUGUGGGGUGCUCGAGUGGCGAACGGGUGAGUAACACGUGAGUAACCUGCCCUUGACUUUGGGAUAACUUCAGGAAACUGGGGCUAAUACCGGAUAGGAGCUCCUGCUGCAUGGUGGGGGUUGGAAAGUUUCGGCGGUUGGGGAUGGACUCGCGGCUUAUCAGCUUGUUGGUGGGGUAGUGGCUUACCAAGGCUUUGACGGGUAGCCGGCCUGAGAGGGUGACCGGCCACAUUGGGACUGAGAGACGGCCCAGAAUCCUACGGGAGGCAGCGGUGGGGAAUAUUGCACAAUGGGCGGAAGCCUGAUGCAGCAACGCCGCGUGCGGGAUGGCGGCCUUCGGGUUGUAAACCGCUUUCGCCUGUGACGAAGCGUGAGUGACGGUAAUGGGUAAAGAAGCACCGGCUAACUACGUG